rnacentral:rRNA from 1 species
CCUACGGGUGGCAGCAGUGGGGGAUAUUGCACAAUGGGGGAAACCCUGAUGCAGCGACGCCGCGGGGGUGAAGAAGCGCCUCGGCGCGUAAAGCCCUGUCAGCAGGGAAGAAAAUGACGGUACCUGAAGAAGAAGCCCCGGCUAACUACGUGCCAGCAGCCGCGGUAAUACGUAGGGGGCAAGCGUUAUCCGGAUUUACUGGGUGUAAAGGGGGCGCAGACGGCGCUGCAAGCCAGGAGUGAAAGCCCGGGGCCCAACCCCGGGACUGCUCUGGGAACUGCGUGGCUAGAGUGCAGGAGGGGCAGGCGGAAUUCCUGGUGUAGCGGUGAAAUGCGUAGAUAUCAGGAGGAACACCGGUGGCGAAGGCGGCCUGCUGGACUGCAACUGACGUUGAGGCCCGAAAGCGUGGGGAGCAAACAGGAUUAGAUACCCCAGUAGUC